rnacentral:rRNA from 1 species
CACGUAGGGUGCGAGCGUUGUCCGGAAUUAUUGGGCGUAAAGAGCUCGUAGGCGGUCCGUCACGUCGGAUGUGAAAUUCCAGGGCUCAACCCUGGACCUGCAUUCGAUACUGGGCGGCUAGAGUCUGGUAGGGGGAUCUGGAAUUCCUGGUGUAGCGGUGGAAUGCGCAGAUAUCAGGAGGAACACCGGUGGCGAAGGCGGGAUCCUGGGCCAGUACUGACGCUGAGGAGCGAAAGCGUGGGGAGCAAACAGG